GACGAACGCUGGCGGCGUGCUUAACACAUGCAAGUCGAACGGAAAGGCCCUGCUUUUGUGGGGUGCUCGAGUGGCGAACGGGUGAGUAACACGUGAGUAACCUGCCCUUGACUUUGGGAUAACUUCAGGAAACUGGGACUAAUACCGGAUAGGAGCUCCUGCUGCAUGGUGGGGGUUGGAAAGUUUCGGCGGUUGGGGAUGGACUCGCGGCUUAUCAGCUUGUUGGUGGGGUAGUGGCUUACCAAGGCUUUGACGGGUAGCCGGCCUGAGAGGGUGACCGGCCACAUUAGGACUGAGAUACGGCCCAGACGCCUACGGGAGGCAGCAGUGGGGAAUAUUGCACAAUGGGCGGAAGCCUGAUGCAGCAACGCCGCGUGCGGGAUGACGGCCUUCGGGUUGUAAACCGCUUUCGCCUGUGACGAAGCGUGAGUGACGGUAAUGGGUAAAGAAGCACCGGCUAACUACGUG
rnacentral:rRNA from 1 species